rnacentral:rRNA from 1 species
AGUAGUAAUACGAUGGUGGCGACCGGCGCACGGGUGAGUAACGCGUAUGCAACCUACCCAUAACAGGGGGAUAACUCGGAGAAAUCCGGACUAAUACCCCAUAAGACCACAGCACGGCAUCGUGCAGAGGUAAAAGCUUCGGUGGUUAUGGAUGGGCAUGCGUGUCAUUAGCUAGUUGGUGAGGUAACGGCUCACCAAGGCUACGAUGACUAGGGGGUCUGAGAGGAUGGUCCCCCACACUGGAACUGAGACACGGUCCAGACUCCUACGGGAGGCAGCAGUGAGGAAUAUUGGUCAAUGGGCGAAAGCCUGAACCAGCCAUGCCGCGUGAAGGAUGACAGCCUUAUGGGUUGUAAACUUCUUUUGUGGUAGAACAAUAAGGGGUACGUGUACUCCGAUGAGUGUAUAUCACGAAUAAGCAACGGCUAACUCCGUGCCAGCAGCCGCGGUAAUACGGAGGUUGCAAGCGUUAUCCGGAUUUAUUGGGUUUAAAGGGUGCGUAGGCGGUUUGAUAAGUCAGUGGUGAAAGUUUGCAGCUUAACUGUAAAAUUGCCAUUGAUACUGUCAGACUUGAGUACAGAUGAGGUAGGCGGAAUGUGUAGUGUAGCGGUGAAAUGCUUAGAUAUUACACAGAACACCGAUUGCGAAGGCAGCUUACUAAACUGUUACUGACGCUGAGGCACGAAAGUGUGGGGAUCAAACAGGAUUAGAUACCCUGGUAGUCCACACUGUAAACGAUGAUUACUGGAUGUUUGCGAUACACAGCAAGCGUCUCAAGCGAAAGCAUUAAGUAAUCCACCUGGGGAGUA